rnacentral:rRNA from 1 species
UGGGGAAUAUUGCACAAUGGGGGAAACCCUGAUGCAGCAACGCCGCGUGAGCGAUGAAGGCUUUCGAGUCGUAAAGCUCUGUCCUAAGGGAAGAUAAUGACGGUACCUUAGGAGGAAGCCCCGGCUAACUACGUGCCAGCAGCCGCGGUAAUACGUAGGGGGCAAGCGUUAUCCGGAAUUAUUGGGCGUAAAGGGUGCGUAGGCGGCCUUAUGGGUCAGGGGUUAAAUACUACGGCUUAACCGUAGUAUGCCUUUGAAACUAUAGGGCUUGAGUGCAGGUGAGGAGAGUGGAAUUCCUAGUGUAGCGGUGAAAUGCGUAGAUAUUAGGAGGAAUACCAGUGGCGAAGGCGACUCUCUGGACUGCAACUGACGCUAAGGCACGAAAGCGUGGGUAGCGAACAGG